UCCGUAGGUGAACCUGCGGAAGGAUCAUUAGUGAAUUAAGCGCGUCUCUUCGGAGAGCGUGACCUCCACUUCUAACUCUGUGCACUAUUUGGCGAGGUAGAGAAACGAGUCGUGUCGUCUCUCCUUGCGGCUUCAUUUUAAACACUAGUUAAAGUAUGUAACGAAAUAUCGAAACUAAAAAAACUUUCAACAACGGAUCUCUUGGCUCUCGCAUCGAUGAAGAACGCAGCGAAAUGUGAUAAGUAAUGUGAAUUGCAGAAUUCAGUGAAUCAUCGAAUCUUUGAACGCACAUUGCACUCUCUGGUAUUCCGGAGAGUAUGCUUGUUUGAGUAUCUGUAAACAUCUCAACCCUCAAGGCGCUUGCGUCGGGAGGAUUGGACUUGAGCGAUCCCGACUCUUUCUCACGAAAGAGGAGGGUCGCUUGAAAUGCAGGUGCAGCAGGACAUUCUUCUGAGCUAAAAGCAUAUCUAUUUAGUCCCGUCAAACGGAUUAUUACUUUUGCUUCAGCUAACAUAAAGGUCGAAUGCGCCACAAUCGCUGAUUGCAGGAAAACUCGUUCGUAAGAACUUGUAAACUCGAUCUCAAAUCAAGUAAGACUACCCGCUGAACUUAAGCAUAUCAAUAAGCGGAGGA
rnacentral:rRNA from 1 species